GACGAACGCUGGCGGCGUGCUUAACACAUGCAAGUCGAACGGAAAGGCCCUGCUUUUGUGGGGUGCUCGAGUGGCGAACGGGGGAGUAACACGUGAGUAACCUGCCCUUGACUUUGGGAUAACUUCAGGAAACUGGGGCUAAUACCGGAUAGGAGCUCCUGCUGCGUGGUGGGGGUUGGAUAUUUUCGGCGGUUGGGGAUGGACUCGCGGCUUAUCAGCUUGUUGGUGGGGGAGUGGCUUACCAAGCGUUUGACGGGUAGCCGGCCUGAGAGGGUGGACGGGCACCAUGGGCCUGAGAGACGGCCCAGACUCCUACGGGGGGCAGCAGUGGGGAAUAUUGCACAGUGGGCGGAAGUCUGAUGCGGCAACGCCGCGGGCGGGAUGACGGCCUUCGGGUUGUAAACCGCUUUCGCCUGUGACGAAGCGGGAGUGACGGUAAUGAGUAAAGAAGCACCGGCUAACUACGUG
rnacentral:rRNA from 1 species